rnacentral:rRNA from 1 species
CUUGCCUGCACCUGCCGGCGACCGGCGCACGGGUGAGUAACACGUAUGGAACCUGCCCGCCACAGGGGGAUAACCCGGGGAAACCCGGCCUAAUACCCCAUGCCGCCCGGACCGGGCAUCCGGUCCGGGCGAAAGGAGGAAUCCGGUGGCGGCUGGGCAUGCGGCGCAUUAGGUAGUUGGUAGGGUAACGGCCUACCAAGCCGACGAUGCGUAGGGGUUCUGAGAGGAAGGUCCCCCACAUUGGAACUGAGACACGGUCCAAACUCCUACGGAAGGCAGCAG